rnacentral:rRNA from 1 species
GACGUAGGUGGCGAACGUUAUCCGGAAUUAUUGGGCGUAAAGGAUGCGUAGAUGGUGUAGUAAGUUAUCGGUGGUAAAUCGAGGCUCAACCUCGUGGAAGUCGGUAAUACUGCUAUGCUAGAGGAUAGGAGAGGUUAACGGAACUCCCUGUGGAGCGGUGAAAUGCGUAGAUAUAGGGAAGAACACCAAUCAGGCGAAGGCAGUUAACUAUUCUAUUCCUGACAUUGAGGCAUGAAAGCGUGGGGAGCAAAACGG